rfam:Clostridium sp. CAG:914 genomic scaffold, scf37
GUAAGUGAAAAAAUUAUGCCAAAGACAGUAAGGACUUAUGUUUAAAAAUCUUACCGAGGAAUAAAAAAUGAUGUUUUGUAUUUUUUGUCCCUCGUUAGAGGGAUUUUAUUUGGUGUA